UACGUAGGGUGCAAGCGUUAAUCGGAAUUACUGGGCGUAAAGCGUGCGCAGGCGGUUGUGUAAGUCAGAGGUGAAAUCCCCGGGCUCAACCUGGGAACUGCCUUUGAGACUGUGCAACUAGAGGAUGGCAGAGGGGGGUAGAAUUCCACGUGUAGCAGUGAAAUGCGUAGAGAUGUGGAGGAAUACCGAUGGCGAAGGCAGCCCCCUGGGCUAUAACUGACGCUCAUGCACGAAAGCGUGGGGAGCAAACAGG
rnacentral:rRNA from 1 species